AAGCGGCCAAGCGAAAGCGUUAAGUAUUCCACCUGGGGAGUACGCCGGCAACGGUGAAACUCAAAGGAAUUGACGGGGGCCCGCACAAGCGGAGGAACAUGUGGUUUAAUUCGAUGAUACGCGAGGAACCUUACCCGGGCUUGAAUUGCAACUGAAUGAUGUGGAGACAUGUCAGCCGCAAGGCAGUUGUGAAGGUGCUGCAUGGUUGUCGUCAGCUCGUGCCGUGAGGUGUCGGCUUAAGUGCCAUAACGAGCGCAACCCUUAUCGAUAGUUACCAUCAGGUUAUGCUGGGGACUCUGUCGAGACUGCCGUCGUAAGAUGUGAGGAAGGUGGGGAUGACGUCAAAUCAGCACGGCCCUUACGUCCGGGGCUACACACGUGUUACAAUGGGGGGUACAGAAGGCAGCUACACGGCGACGUGAUGCUAAUCCCGAAAGCCUCUCUCAGUUCGGAUUGGAGUCUGCAACCCGACUCCAUGAAGCUGGAUUCGCUAGUAAUCGCGCAUCAGCCACGGCGCGGUGAAUACGUUCCCGGGCCUUGUACACACCGCCCGUCAAGCCAUGAAAGCCGGGGGUACCUGAAGUGCGUAACCGCAAGGAGCGCCCUAGGGUAAAACUGGUGAUUGGGGCUAAGUCGUAACAAGGUAGCCGUACCGGAAGGUGCGGCUG
rnacentral:rRNA from 1 species